UGACAGCCAAGAAAAUAGGACAGAAUCAAAAGGAAGUAAAAUAAGUCAUAGUGAAACCUUCUCCCUUAGAGGAAGGAAAGCAAACAUUGAAAUAUUGCUUUUUUUCUUGGCUACUUAUUAAAGGGGAGAUUUGCCUGCUGUGCUGGAAGAGUCUUUUAUUCAUCGUUUUGUUGAUGGGAGGUAUCCAACUUGAGUGUGUUUGAAGAAGCAAAUUAGUGGCUUCUGGGAAGGUAUUAAUAAGUCACAGAGCAAAGAGGAAUAUUUCAAGGGAGGGGAACUGAGAAGAUUUGGUUGAAUAAAGCUCAUUAAGAUCCUACAGAGAUGGAAUCUGAGUAUGAAGUAGGUCAAAUUCAGUCUCCCUGAUAGUGCCCUUCAGGCAUUGCCAACGUGGGCUUCUCGCUCAGCAGAGGUGGGUUGUGUGUGGAUGGAUUCCUAGACUGCAGCAUGGGCUCUAACCUAAUGAGAAGGUGCCUACACAGGGCCUGCAGCCAGAAGUCCUGAUUUUCACGUAAAAUGCCCUCAGUUCCUUCAAAUCUUCAGAUUUUUCCUCAGGUAAAGCUUUGUAUCCUAGGUGCUUGGUAUUAGGCAUCUGCUUGUUGGAAAGUAAGAGAGCCACAUCCGCAACUGCAAGAGUUGGGAGACUCCAGCGGCAGUAACAACCCAGGGGAUCACACAAAGGAGGUUGGAACUCUACCCUGGUUUGACUGAUCCCUCAAAUACAUUCAGAUGUCAUCAUAAAGAAGCUUUAGCUUCAUAAAGAAGGAAGACAAAGGAAAAAUUGUGCCACUUCUGUUAAUUUAAUCAGAAAGUUUUAAUGAUGUCUUAUUACUUGGGUUUUUAUCAUAAUGAUUUGUUUUAAUGCUGAGUUCAGUUUCAGUUUUAUAUUUGUUCUAUCUUGUGCAACGUCCAAGGAUAAUUUAACUAUUCAAAUGAAGUAGUCCCUUAAAAAAUUAUCCCAUGGCAUGGAUUUGAAGAGGCAGGCAAAAAUGGAAUAAAGUACUUUUCAGUAGAUUAGACAAUUGCAAUCCAGUUCUAUUGAAGCCCCACGACAGGAUUGCUGCUAAAUUUGAUGUAUAUUUUCUGUUUUUUUGUUUGUUUGGUUGGCUGGUUGGUUUUUGUUUUUGAGACAGA
rnacentral:lncRNA from 1 species